rnacentral:rRNA from 1 species
UACGAAGGGGGCAAGCGUUGUUCGGAAUUACUGGGCGUAAAGGGCGCGUAGGCGGCUUAUCAAGUCAGGCGUGAAAUUCCCGGGCUCAACCUGGGGGCCGCGCUUGAUACUGAUUGGCUUGAAUGCGGGAGAGGAUAGUGGAAUUCCCAGUGUAGAGGUGAAAUUCGUAGAUAUUGGGAAGAACACCGGUGGCGAAGGCGGCUAUCUGGCCCGUAAUUGACGCUGAGGCGCGAAAGCGUGGGGAGCAAACAGG